rnacentral:rRNA from 1 species
AAUCUUCCACAAUUGACGGAAGUCUGAUGGAGCAACGCCGCGUGAGCGAAGAAGGUUUUCGGAUCGUAAAGCUCUGUUGUAAGGGAAGAACACGUACGGGAGUCACUGCCCGUCCCUUGACGGUAGCUUAUCAGAAAGCCACGGCUACCUAAGUGCCAGCAGCCGCGGUAAUACGUAGGUGGCAAGCGUUUUCCGGAAUUAUUGGGCGUAAAGCGCGCGAAGGCGGUCCUUUAAGGCUGAUUUAAAAGCCCACGGCUCAACCGUGGAGGGUCAUUGGAAACUGGAGGACUUAAGUACAGAAGAGGAAAGCGAAAUUCCACGUGUAGCGGUGAAAGGCGUAGAGAUGUGGAGGAACACCAGUGGCGAAGGCGGCUUUCUGGUCUGUAACUGACGCUGAGGCGCGAAAGCGUGGGGAGCAAACA